rnacentral:rRNA from 1 species
GAUGAACGCUGGCGGCGUGCCUAACACAUGCAAGUCGAGCGAGAAUUUACGAAAUGAAGCUUCGGCAGAUUUUUGUAAAGGAAAGCGGCGGACGGGUGAGUAACGCGUGAGUAACCUGCCCUUAGGUGGGGGAUAACACAUCGAAAGGUGUGCUAAUACCGCAUAAUAUAUAUUUACCGCAUGGUAGAUAUAUCAAAGAUUUAUUGCCAAAGGAUGGACUCGCGUCUGAUUAGAUAGUUGGUGAGGUAACGGCUCACCAAGUCGACGAUCAGUAGCCGAACUGAGAGGUUGAUCGGCCACAUUGGGACUGAGACACGGCCCAGACUCCUACGGGAGGCAGCAGUGGGGAAUAUUGCGCAAUGGGGGAAACCCUGACGCAGCAACGCCGCGUGAAGGAUGAAGGUCUUCGGAUUGUAAACUUUUGUCUUAUGGGACGAACACAGACGGUACCAUAGGAGGAAGCCACGGCUAACUACGUG